rnacentral:rRNA from 1 species
ACACAGAGGGUGCAAGCGUUAAUCGGAUUUACUGGGCGUAAAGCGCGCGUAGGCGGCUAAUUAAGUCAAAUGUGAAAUCCCCGAGCUUAACUUGGGAAUUGCAUUCGAUACUGGUUAGCUAGAGUGUGAGAGAGGAUGGUAGAAUUCCAGGUGUAGCGGUGAAAUGCGUAGAGAUCUGGAGGAAUACCGAUGGCGAAGGCAGCCAUCUGGCCUAACACUGACGCUGAGGUGCGAAAGCAUGGGGAGCAAACAGGAUUAGAAACCCGAGUAGUCC